rnacentral:rRNA from 1 species
GAGUUUGAUCAUGGCUCAGGAUGAACGCACAAGACGUGCCUAACACAUGCAAAUCGAAUGAAAACAAUUUAAUUAAAUUGUUUUCAUGGUGAACGGGUGAGUAACACAUAAGAAUCAGCUUUUAGAUAAGGCAUAAAAGAGUAAUAUCUUGGUAAUUCCUUAUAUGCGCAGCAGUGCUUAAAAAGGGGACUCCCGUCUAAAAACGAGCUUAUGCCUGAUUAGCUAGUUGGCGAGUUAAAAGCUCACCAAGGCGAAGAUCAGUAGCUGGCCUGAGAGGGCGGCCAGCCACAUUGGGACUGAGACACGGCCCAAACUCCUACGGGAGGCAGCAGUGGGGAAUCUUCUGCAAUGGGCGCAAGCCUGACAGAGCGGCGUCAUGUGAAGGAAGAAGGCCUGAAAUAGGUUGUAAACUUCUUUUACUGAGUAAUGAAUACUGACAACGCAGUAAAAAAGUAUCGGCUAACUCCGUGCCAGCAGCCGCGGUAAUACGGGGGAUGCAAGCGUUAUCCGGAAUCACUGGGCGUAAAGCGUCUGUAGGUGGUUUAGUGUGUUCUUAGUUAAAUUAUGAAGCCUAACUUCAUGAAAAGUAAGAAAACUAUUAGACUUGAGUACGAUAGGGGUAAGAGGAAUUCUUCGAGAAGUAGUGAAAUGCGAAGAUACGAAGGAGAAGAUCAUAAGCGAAGGCUUCUUACUGGGUCGUAACUGACACUGAGAGACGAAAGCUAGGGGAGCGGAUGGGAUUAGAUACCCCAGUAGUCCUAGCUGUAAACGAUGGAUAUUCGGUGCCGGAUUUUAUUAGAACAUUUCGGUACCCUAGCUAACGCGUUAAAUAUCCCGCCUGAGGAGUACGCUCGCAAGGGUGAAACUCAAAGGAAUUGACGGGGGCUCGCACAAGCGGUGGAGCAUGUGGUUUAAUUCGAUGCAAAGCGAAGAACCUUACCAGGGCUUGACAGUAUGUAUAAAAGUCUUAACGGACU